rfam:Gossypium raimondii Chr05_contig_472, whole genome shotgun sequence.
AUUCCAUGAUGUAGGCAUCUUCGUAAUAGUUCUUUAAAUCUAUCUCAAGCCUCAUAAAAGGACUCAUCAUCCAUCUGUUGAAAGGUAGUGCUUAUAUUCCAUAACUUAGCAU